AUGAACGCUGGCGGCGUGCCUAAUCCCUGCCAGUCGAGCGAACAGACGAGGAGCUUGCUCCUCUGACGUUAGCGGCGGACGGGUUAGUAACACGUGGAUAACCUACCUAUAAGCCUGGGAUAACUUCGGGAAACCGGAGCUAAUACCGGAUAAUAUAUUGCACCGCAUGGUUCAAUAGUGAAAGACGGUUUUGCUGUCACUUAUAGAUGGAUCCGGGCAGCAUUGGCUAGUUUGUCAGGUAACGGCUUACCAAGGCAACGAUGGGUAGCCGACCUGACAGGGAGGACGGCCAAACGGGAACUGAGACACGGUCGAGACUCCGGAGGGGAGCAGCAGUAGGGAAUCUUCCGCAAGGGGCGAAUGCCUGACGGAGCAACGCCGCGUGAGUUAUGAAGGUCUUCGGAUCGUAAAACUCUGUUAUUAGGGAAGAACAAAUGUGUAAGUAACUAUGCACGUCUUGACGGUACCUAAUCAGAAAGCCACGGCUAACUACGUG
rnacentral:rRNA from 1 species